rnacentral:rRNA from 1 species
GCAAGUCGAACGGCAGCACGGGAGCAAUCCUGGUGGCGAGUGGCGAACGGGUGAGUAAUACAUCGGAACGUGCCCAAUCGUGGGGGAUAACGCAGCGAAAGCUGUGCUAAUACUGCAUACGAUCUACGGAUGAAAGCAGGGGAUCGCAAGACCUUGCGCGAAUGGAGCGGCCGAUGGCAGAUUAGGUAGUUGGUGAGGUAAAGGCUCACCAAGCCUUCGAUCUGUAGCUGGUCUGAGAGGACGACCAGCCACACUGGGACUGAGACACGGCCCAGACUCCUACGGGAGGCAGCAGUGGGGAAUUUUGGACAAUGGGCGAAAGCCUGAUCCAGCCAUGCCGCGUGCAGGAUGAAGGCCUUCGGGUUGUAAACUGCUUUUGUACGGAACGAAAAGGUUCUUUCUAAUAAAGAGAGCUCAUGACGGUACCGUAAGAAUAAGCACCGGCUAACUACGUGCCAGCAGCCGCGGUAAUACGUAGGGUGCAAGCGUUAAUCGGAAUUACUGGGCGUAAAGCGUGCGCAGGCGGUUAUAUAAGACAGUUGUGAAAUCCCCGGGCUCAACCUGGGAACUGCAUCUGUGACUGUAUAGCUAGAGUAC